rnacentral:rRNA from 1 species
AUUGAACGCUGGCGGCAGGCCUAACACAUGCAAGUCGAACGAGUGGCGGACGGGUGAGUAAUGUCUGGGAAACUGCCCGAUGGCGGGGGAUAACUACUGGAAAAGGUAGCUAAUACCGCAUACCAUCGGAUGUGCCCAGAUGGGAUUAGCUAGUAGGUGGGGUAACGGCUCACCUAGGCGACGAUCCCUAGCUGGGCUGAGAGGAUGACCAUCCACACUGGAACUGAUACACGGUCCAUACUCCUACGUGAGGCGCCAGUGGGGAAUAUUGCACAAUGGGCGCAAGCCUAAUGCAGCCAUGCCGGGGGUAUGAAGAGGGCCUUCGGUUGUUAAAGUACUUUCAGCGAGUAGGCGUUACUCGCAGAAGAAGCACCGGCUAACUCCGUGCCAGCCGCCGCGGUAAUUC